AGGAAAGUCUAGUCCCUUAUAAACAAACGCAUAGCGUUGUGAACACGGUAACGUUAGCGCUUAGGUAAGCGAGCGGGGCAAUAGCUCUUGUUUCUCUCACAACGAGAAUGAAAGCGCUCGCGCCUCCGAAGUUUGUUCGAGGAUAAGGUUUAAUACAUUGAAUGUCGCUUGAUUUUAUCCAGAAGAAUUGCCGCGGGGAAUGGGUGCUGUUUCACUCAACUAAACUUAGCUUACCGCU
rnacentral:RNase_P_RNA from 1 species